ACUGGGAGUAACAAGAGGGAAACGUUCUGAUAAUACUGGAUAAGUUAGUAUAUCGCAUGAUAUGCAAAUGAAAGCUACGGCACUAAAGGAGAGCUUUGCGUCCUAUUAGCUAGUUGGUAAGGUAAGAGCUUACCAAGGCGAUGAUAGGUAGCCGGCCUGAGAGGGUGGACGGCCACAAGGGGACUGAGAUACGGCCCUUACUCCUACGGGAGGCAGCAGGA
rnacentral:rRNA from 1 species